AAGCUCUUCCACUGUCACGAAAUAUAAAGACCUAUAUCAUUUACAAACCUCUUCAGUUCUUCUUAAACAUUCUUUGGGCUUGAUUUUCACAGAAUUCAAUAGCUCGUUCAAAGCAUCUUCAAUCUUCACCGAAUCAGAAGACGAUGAUCCUGAGGUACUUAUCCCCAAAAUAAGAUAACUCAGCUAAAUAAGAGCAUAAUCGAAGCAAUCUUGAGAUGAAUCAAAGAAAGGAGCAAAGUGGGAGCAAAAGGAAGCAAGUGGUGGAAAUUCAGCAAAUUCAGCAAGUUCGAUCGAUCUCAGUAAAUGUUCGAUCGAUCCAACUCUGAUCGAUUUCAGCUCUUCAAGAUGGAUCUGAGCUAUUUUACCCUUAUCCAAAGAUUUUACAAAGUUCGAUCAAUCCUACUUUCUUCAGAUCGAUCGAAGAGAUUCCAUCUUAUCCAGUUGUACCACCACACCUACCACUUUUCUCUCUUUUCCAAAAAAUAUCUCCAAAAUAUCUCAGAUUUGUCUUUAUCCAAAAAGGCGCCGCCAUAGAGGAUAGAUCCAGCUUAAGUUCGAUAGAUUUUAGCCAUGUUCGAUCGAUCUCAGAGAAUGUUCGAUCGAUCGAACUUCCCCAAGUUCAAGAAAAUUCAAUUUCCAGCUCAUUAAAAGUUGUCUCAUAUCCAAUCAUUGGGAGGCAUAUUGGUGCACGAGCCCAGGUCAUUGGGGGAGACAUUUGACCUACCUAUAUAAGGAAUAUGAGCCUCUUUUACAAAAAGACUUUUGACACAAUUUCUAUAGGAUAUUCUUAGUGAGGAAGAAAGAAAGAGAGGAGGCUAAAGACACAAACUUGGAGUUCUUCCAUCAAUCAAGAAGCGGAGCAAUCUCUACCAUGGAGUCAGCCCUUGAGGGUUGGAGGACACCAUCCAUGAGUGGCUAGACAUCCUUUUGGGGCUAGAGUUAGCCCUAAGCAUGCUUUCUACAUCUUGAUUUAUGUAUUUUUUAGGGGAUUUGUAUUGUGAUACAUGUUUUGACAUUGUUAUAUACAUAGAUCUUAUUUAUUCAAUGAUU